rnacentral:rRNA from 1 species
GGGCAGUGGGGGCGUCUUACCAUGCAAGUCGAACGAACCUUCGGGUGAGUGGCGGACGGGUGAGUAACGCGUGGGAAUCUGCCCUCAGGAGGGGGAUAACGGCUGGAAACGGCCGCUAAUACCCCAUAUGCCGAGAGGUGAAAUGAAUUUCGCCUGAGGAUGAGCCCGCGUCUGAUUAGCUAGUUGGUGAGGUAAGAGCUCACCAAGGCAUCGAUCAGUAGCUGGUCUGAGAGGAUGAUCAGCCACACUGGGACUGAGACACGGCCCAGACUCCUACGGGAGGCAGCAGUGGGGAAUUUUCCGCAAUGGGCGAAAGCCUGACGGAGCAACGCCGCGUGAGGGAUGAAGGCCUCUGGGCUGUAAACCUCUUUUCUCAAGGAAGAAGAUCUGACGGUACUUGAGGAAUAAGCCACGGCUAAUUCCGUGCCAGCAGCCGCGGUAAUACGGGAGUGGCAAGCGUUAUCCGGAAUUAUUGGGCGUAAAGCGUCCGCAGGCGGCCCUUCAAGUCUGCUGUUAAAACGUGGAGCUUAACUCCAUCAUGGCAGUGGAAACUGUUGGGCUUGAGUGUGGUAGGGGCAGAGGGAAUUCCCGGUGUAGCUGAAAUGCGUAGAUAUCGGGAAGAACACCAGUGGCGAAGGCGCUCUGCUGGGCCAUAACUGACGCUCAUGGACGAAAGCCAGGGGAGCGAAAGGGAUUAGAUACCCCUGUAGUCCUGGCCGUAAACGAUGAACACUAGGUGUCGGGGGAAUCGACCCCCUCGGUGUCGUAGCCAACGCGUUAAGUGUUCCGCCUGGGGAGUACGCACGCAAGUGUGAAACUCAAAGGAAUUGACGGGGGCCCGCACAAGCGGUGGAGUAUGUGGUUUAAUUCGAUGCAACGCGAAGAACCUUACCAGGGUUUGACAUCCUGCGAAUCUCCUGGGAAACGGGAGAGUGCCUUCGGGAACGCAGUGACAGGUGGUGCAUGGCUGUCGUCAGCUCGUGUCGUGAGAUGUUGGGUUAAGUCCCGCAACGAGCGCAACCCACGUCUUUAGUUGCAGCAUUCAGUUGGGCACUCUAGAGAGACCGCCUGUUGAUAAACCGGAGGAAGGGUGGUGGAUGACGUCAAGUCAUCAUGGC